rnacentral:rRNA from 1 species
GGCAGACGGGUGAGUAGCACGUGAACAAUCUACCCUCGAGUGGGGAAUAACCCCGCGAAAGCGGGGCUAAUACCGCAUAAUACUUCUGGGACGCAUGUCCUGGAGAUCAAGGGCUUCGGUCGCUUGAGGAGGAGUUCGCGCCUGAUUAGCUAGUUGGUGAGGUAACGGCCCACCAAGGCAACGAUCAGUAGCCGGCCUGAGAGGGCGUACGGCCACACUGGAACUGAGACACGGUCCAGACUCCUACGGGAGGCAGCAGUGGGGAAUUUUGCGCAAUGGGCGAAAGCCUGACGCAGCAACGCCGCGUGGAGGAUGAAGGCCUUCGGGUCGUAAACUCCUGUCAGGGGGGACGAAACGCCGGGCAACCGGUUUGACUGUACCCCCGGAGGAAGCCACGGCUAACUCCGUGCCAGCAGCCGCGGUAAUACGGAGGUGGCUAGCGUUGUUCGGAAUUACUGGGCGUAAAGGGCGCGUAGGCGGCUUUGCAAGUCAGAUGUGAAAGCCCCGGGCUUAACUCGGGAACUGCAUCUGAAACUGCCUUGCUUGAGUCCUGGAGGGGGUAGUGGAAUUCCCAGUGUAGCGGUGAAAUGCGUAGAUAUUGGGAGGAACACCUGCGGCGAAGGCGGCUACCUGGACAGUGACUGACGCUGAGGCGCGAAAGCUAGGGGAGCGAACGGGAUUAGAUACCCCGGUAGUCC